AAAUGCCGCUGGUAAAAAGAAACAUAGACCCCAGGCAUCUGUGCCACACAGCUCUGCCCCGAGGUAUCAAGAAUGAGUUGGAAUGUGUCACCAAUAUCUCCUUGGCAAAUAUAAUCAGACAGCUGAGUAGCCUAAAUACAGGUUAAAGAACAUAAACUUUUCAGAGUUUCAAGACGUAUAUUAGAAAGUCUUGUGUUAGGUAAAUAUGCUGAAGAUAUAUUUGGUGAACUUUUCAACGAAGCACACAGUUUCUCAUUUAGAGUCAACUCCCUACAAGAACGUGUGGAUCGCCUAUCUGUCAGUGUUACGCAACUUGAUCCAAAGGAAGAAGAACUGUCAUUGCAGGACAUUACAAUGAGGAAAGCUUUCCGCAGUUCCACGAUUCAAGAUCAGCAGCU